rnacentral:rRNA from 1 species
AUACCUAGAUAAAAGUGAAUAUCAUAAGUAAUUUAUGAUUGGGACGUAUAGCGAAACGAAAAGCUGUUCUUAUUGUCGUAAUACAAGUGAGAACAGAUCUCCUUAGAGGAAACUCUGUAUAUUUAAUAAAACCUAGUGAAUUGAAACAUCUCAGUAACUAGAGGAAUAGAAAUCAACCGAGACUCCGUUAGUAGUGGUGAACGAACGCGGAUUAGGCCAAUUAAUAGAAUAAAAAAAUUAGAAAAUAAAUAAGUAAGUUGAAAUACCACGCCAAAGAAGGUUAUAGCCCUGUAUUAUUAUUCAUAAUUUUUCUACAUUAGGUUGUAGAACUAUUAAUUUAAUGAGUAGAACGAGACUUAACUUGUUUGAAGAUAGGGGGACCACCCUCUAAGCCUAAGUACGCACUUUUGAUCGAUAGUGAACUAGUACCGUGAGGGAAAGGUGAAAGAGAAGUGAAAUAAAUAUUGAAACUGGAUGUAUACAAGCACUCAGCGCUUUAUAUAAUUUUUUAUAUAGAGUAAUGGGGUACCUUUUGUAUAAUGGGUCAACGAGUAAAUAAUGGAAGCUAGCUUAAGCUGUUAAGUGGAGGCGGAGUAAACACGAACAUGAGUUUCUUUUAUUUGACCCGAAACCAAGUGAUCUAGUCAUGAGCAGGUUGAAAAAAUGUUAACACGUUUUGGAGGACCGAACUCACACAUGUGGCAAUAUGUGGAGAUGACUUGUGACUAGGGGUGAAAAGCCAAUCGAACUUGGAGAUAGCUGGUUUUCUGCGAAAUCUAUUUAGGUAGAGUCUAGAACAAAUUGAUAGAUAAAAAGGGGGUAGAGCACUCGUUGGGUAAGGGUGGCCCAAAGCCUUACUAAAUCCAGGGAAACUCCUAAUACCUUUUUAUAAUUUUCUAGAAACAGACUUUGAGUGCUAAGGUUCAAAGUCAAGAGGGAAACAGCCCAGACUGAACGCUAAGGUUCCAAAGCAUAUAUUUAGUGGUAAAGGAGGUUAUUAAGCUUAGACAACCAGCAAGUAGGCUUAGAAGCAGCCAUCUUAUAAUGAAAGCGUAGUAGCUCACUGGUCUAUUUUUUUUAUUAAAAAGGGCUUAAUUGCGCCGAAAAUGUAACGGAGCUAAAAUAUAUCACCGAAGCGGCAGCUAUACUAACUAAAGUCAUAAAACUCAAUUCUUAGUAUAGGGUAGCAGAACGUUCUGUAAGUAUAUUAUGGUGUAUUCGUGAGAGUGCACUUUUAUAUCAGAAGUGAGAAUGUUGACAUGAGUAACGUAAAAUCAUGUGUAAUUCAUGAUCGCCGAAAAAUUCAGUGUUUUCUACAUACUGGAAUUCAGUGUAGAGUUAAUCGGCCCCUAAGUAUGUAAGCGAUUGCUUUAAUAUAAUGGGUACAAGUUUAAAAUUUCUUGAUUAAGUUUCUAUGACGGAUAGUACCUAAUUUAGGAGAUAAAUGGAUUUCUUUUAAAUUAUAACUAUUCCAGGAAAAAAAGAGACUAUUUACAAUUUAUUGUAUAAUACCGUACUGACCGACACUGGAGAAUAAAUAGAGUAUAUUAAGGCGUAGAGAGAAUCAUAUUAAAGGAACUCGACAAAAUGCCUCCGUAACUUCGGGAUAAGGAGGAGCAGUGCUAUUGUUAUAAAUUUAAUUUAUAUUAAUAUUACUGCUGGCACAGAAUAGGAAGCAGCGACUGUUUAUUAAAAACACAGGACUCUGCUAAGCGGUAACGCGACGUAUAGGGUCUGACACCUGCCCGGUGCUGGAAACUUAAGUGGAAAGGUUUGUUGCUAUUUUUUUAAAAUAAAUUCAAGCUUCGAAAUUAAAGCCCAGUAAACGGCGGCUGUAACUCUAACAGUCCUAAGGUAAGUUCCGACCUGCAUGAAUGGUGUAACGACUGCUUCGUUGUCUCUAAUAUGAUCUCAGUGAAAUUGAAUUCUCCGUGAAGAUGCGGAGUUCCCAAAAAUAGACGGAAAGACCCUAUGCAUCUUUACUGCAGCUUUACAUUGAAAAAGGGUAUUGAAUGUAGAGGAUAGGUGGGAGUUUAUAUAUUUAUUUAUAUAAACAACCUUGGAAUACCACCCUUUCUUUAUCGUUUUUCUAACUUAAAUUAUAAGGACACUGUAUAGUGGGUAGUUUGACUGGGGCGGUCGUUUUCUAAAACGUAACGAAAACGUGCGAAGGUAAGCUCAAGCUGGAAGGAAAUCAGCUGUAGAGCAUAAUGGUAUAAGCUUGCCUGACUGUGAGACCUAAAAGUCAAACAGAGACGAAAGUCGGCCAUAGUGACCCGGGAGUACUUCGUGGAAAGGCUCUCGCUCAACUGAUCAAAGAUACGCUAGGGAUAACAGGCUGAUGACUCCCAAGAGCUCUUAUCGACGGAGUCGUUUGGCACCUUGACGAUGUCGACUCAACUUAUCCUCGAGCUGUAGAAGGUUCGAAGGGUUCGGCUGUUCGCCGAUUAAAAAGUUACGUGGUUGGGUUUAAUACGUCGUAAGACAGUAUGUAUCCUAUCUUUUUUGGGUGGUUAAAGAAUUGACAGGAGGAUUUCUUUGUACGAGAGGACCGGAAAUCGCGAACCUCUGGUGUAUCAGUUGUUAUGCCCAUAGCAGCGCUGAGUAGCUAAGUUCGUAAUAGAUAACCGCUGAAAGCAUCUCAAGCGGGAAACUAGCCUGAAAACAAGUUCUUAAAAAAUCGUAGAAGAAUACUACGUUGAUAGGUGGAAAGUGUAUAAAUAGCAAUAUUAGAGCUAAUCCA